UACGAAGGGGGCGAGCGUUGUUCGGAUUUACUGGGCGUAAAGGGCGCGUAGGCGGCGCAGCAAGUCGCGUGUGAAAGCCCCGGGCUCAACCUGGGAAUGGCGCGCGAUACUGCUGUGCUGGAGUUCGGGAGAGGAGCGUGGAAUUCCCAGUGUAGAGGUGAAAUUCGUAGAUAUUGGGAAGAACACCGGUGGCGAAGGCGGCGCUCUGGACCGAUACUGACGCUGAGGCGCGAAGGCGUGGGGAGCAAACAGG
rnacentral:rRNA from 2 species